GGUCAAGCUACGAAGGGCGCACGGUGGAUGCCUAGGCGAUCAGAGGCGAAGAAGGACGUGGAUAGCUGCGAAAAGCUCCGGUUAGUCGCUAACAGACGUUUGACCCGGAGAUCUCCGAAUGGGACAACCCGGCAGGGUUAUACCUGUCAGUCCGCUGGUGAAUCCAUAACCAGAGGGCAGCCAAGUCAGGGAACUGAAACAUCUAAGUACCUGAACGAAAGGAAAUCAAAAGAGACUCCCCUAGUAGUGGCGAGCGAACGGGGACGAGCCUAAACCCGCAAAGGUAAAACUUUACGGGGGUCGUGGGGCUUGCGAUAUGGGACUCAAGAAGUUAGUCGAACGGUAUGGAAAGGCCGGCCAUAGCAGGUGACAGCCCUGUAGACGAAAACGGAAGGAGCCCUAGCGAGUACCCGAGUACCGCAGGACACGAGUAAUCCGGCGGGAAUCUGGGAGGACCAUCUUCCAAGGCUAAGUACUCCUGAUCGACCGAUAGUGAACAAGUACCGCGAGGGAAAGGUGAAAAGAACCCCGGUUAGGGAGUGAAAUAGUACCUGAAACCGUGUGCCUACAAGCAGUGGGAGCGCUAUGCCCGCAAGGGAAGGCGUGACCACGUACCUUUGCAUAAUGGGCCUGCGAGUUACCGUGUGUGGCAAGGUUAAGCCGAGAGGUGAAGCCGGAGCGAAAGCGAGUCCUAACAGGGCGCCAAGUCGCACGCGGUAGACCCGAAACCUUAGCGAUCUAUCCAUGUCCAGGUUGAAGAGCGGGUAACACCGCUUGGAGGACCGAACUCACCGCAGUUGAAAAUGCGGGGGAUGAGGUGUGGAUAGGAGUGAAAGGCUAAUCAAGCUGGGAUAUAGCUGGUUCUCCCCGAAAUAUAUUGAGGUAUAGCCUCGGACGAAUUGCGGUGGAGGUAGAGCACUGAAUGGGCUAGGGGUCCUACCAGAUUACCAAACCCAAUCAAACUCCGAAUGCCACUGACAAGUAUCCGGGAGUCAGGCUGCGGGAGAUAAGUUCCGUAGCCGAGAGGGAAAGAGCCCAGAUCGUCGGUUAAGGUCCCUAAAUCUGAGCUAAGUGUCAAAGGAUGUGGAAACGCAUUGACAACCAGGAGGUUGGCUUAGAAGCAGCCAUCCUUUAAAGAAAGCGUAAUAGCUCACUGGUCAAGCGAGUCUGCGCCGAAAAUAUAACGGGGCUAAGCUCAGUACCGAAGCCACGGGCUCUGAAUAAGAGCGGUAGGGGGAGCAUUGUCAGGGAGAUACACGCCGGACGGAAACGACCGGUAUCGGCCCUGAGAAGAGCUUAUGCAGGCAUGAGUAGCGAUAAACCGAGUGAGAAACUCGGUCGCCGUAAGCCCAAGGAUUCCUGGGGAAGGAUAAUCCUCCCAUGGGUUAGUCGGAGCCUAAGCCGAGGCCGAAAGGCGUAGGUGAUGGGAAGCAGGUUAAUAUUCCUGCACCACCAAGGAUGGCGUUGAAGUAAGCGGGGACGGAGAAGGGUAGGCCGAGCACGGUGGUUGGUUAUCCGUGUUCAAGCCAGUAGGAUGAGUUGCUAGGACCCGAUAGGGACAAACGGCAACUCGCGUAUCCGAGAGGUGAUGAGGUCCGAGCCUAGCUCGGGAUACUCGGUGAUCCCAGACUUCCAAGAAAAUCCGCGUACAGAGCCCCUUUGGUGUCCGUACCGCAAACCGACUCAGGUGGGCGGGAAGAAUAUUCCAAGGCGCGUGAGAGAACCCUGGUUAAGGAACUCGGCAAAAUGACACCGUAACUUCGGGAGAAGGUGUGCCGGUUUGCGUGAAGAGGUUUACCCUCGGAGCGUCGGCCGGUUGCAGAGAAAUGGGGGUUGUGACUGUUUACUAAAAACACAGGACUCUGCAAAGUCGUAAGACGACGUAUAGGGUCUGAUGCCUGCCCGGUGCUGGAAGGUUAAGGGGAAGAGUCAGCGUAAGCAAAGCUUUGAACCGAAGCCCCAGUAAACGGCGGCCGUAACUAUAACGGUCCUAAGGUAGCGAAAUUCCUUGUCGGGUAAGUUCCGACCUGCACGAAUGGCAUAACAACAUCCCCGCUGUCUCGACCAGGGACUCAGCGAAAUUGUAUCGGGGGUGAAGAUACCCUCUACCCGCGGCAAGACGGAAAGACCCCAUGAACCUUUACUGCAACUUGGCAGUGAUUUUUCGGGAUGUUCUGCGUAGGAUAGGUGGGAGGCUUUGAGGCUGGGCUUCUGGGUUCAGCGGAGCCAACGUUGAAAUACCACCCUGGACUUUCUGGAAAUCUAACCUAGACCCGUUACCCGGGUCAGGGACACUGCCUGGUGGGCAGUUUGACUGGGGCGGUCGCCUCCCAAAAAGUAACGGAGGCGUGCGAAGGUUCCCUCAGCCUGAUUGGAAACCAGGCGUAGAGUGCAAACGCACAAGGGAGCUUAACUGUGAGACCGACAGGUCGAACAGGUGCGAAAGCAGGCGUUAGUGAUCCGGUGGUUCUGCAUGGAAGGGCCAUCGCUUAUCGGAUAAAAGGUACUCUGGGGAUAACAGGCUGAUCGCGCCUGAGAGUUCACAUCGGCGGCGCGGUUUGGCACCUCGAUGUCGGCCCAUCGCAUCCUGGGGCUGGAGCAGGUCCCAAGGGUUCGGCUGUUCGCCGAUUAAAGCGGUACGCGAGCUGGGUUUAAAACGUCGUGAGACAGUUUGGUCCCUAUCUGCCGUGGGCGUAGGACACUUGAGAGGAGCUGCCCAUAGUACGAGAGGACCUGGGUGGACGUACCUCUGGUGUUCCGGUUGUUCUGCCAAGAGCAUAGCCGGGUAGCCAUGUACGGAACGGAUAACCGCUGAAAGCAUCUAAGCGGGAAGCCGGCCUCAAGACUAGGUGUCCCGAGUCGCAAGACUCCUAAAGACCCCUUGUAGACUACAAGGUUGAUAGGCCAGGUGUGGAUUCCGAGUAAUCGGAGGAGCUAACUGGUACUAAUCGGUCGUGCGGCUUGACCAU
rnacentral:rRNA from 1 species